AACAUGUGCGCUUGUCACGGCGGAACGUCGCGGUCGAAGACUCGUUAGAAACGACCAUGUUCAACGUCGAUUUGCAACACCAAGACGUGUAUUCGUUGUCUUAUUCUGAUCGGCUAACCCGUGGUUGCGUAAAGUGAAACAAUAUGCCACCAGAAGUUUGAGCAAGGUGUCGUUAACAUCACUGCUUCGAGUCACCAUUUUGUCGGAGCUUUCCCGCCAAGCUGACCAGCGAACAAGUUUUGUGGAUUUUGCUGUCAGGUAGCAAGCAGAAGUACCCAGACGAACUGUGCAGUGCUGAUAACAUGGUGAGCCAAGCAUCCCAAAAGAGGUGCUUAUUCAGCAUCUGUGGCUAACUCAAAGGAAGCACCUCCCAAAAGCAGUGCUACAAGGAAGUGAGCCACAAGUUCUUUUCAACGAACAGAUCAGAUGCCUGAGAGCCACGGGCCGGCUGCUUCUGGCCUACACAGGCAGGGCAGCCACCACAGUAAAGUUCUUGCAAAGACCAUCUUGCUAAUUCAUACAGAGUGCUCCAGCAAUCGCCUUCUACAUUAUACAAAUACUGUCCCAAAGGCUGACAGAAGGCUGUACAGAUGGACACACAGAAGACGUCGGACUGCCUGAGAAACUGUGUCUGAGCGU